CGGGUUAUUAGAGCCCCGGAUCAUCCUCCCUAUAAGUAUUAUAGUAAUUUUCCUUUCCUGCAUCUCUUCUUGUAGAGCAAGGAUGAAAUUAACAAAAACUAAACAAAUAAUAAUUUGUGUCACAUGUUAUCACCACCUUCGAAUUUGAGUGAUAAAAUGCUACCUAAACAAAUGUCAAACUGAGACAUGUGUGGAUAAAUUGGUACACCCAUGUUAGGAAAUAAGACAAAUCUUCCAAUCUCGCUGUCAAAAUUGUAACUCACAUCUUGUAGUGAUUAUUUCGUGUUGGCCAUGUUAGCGUUUGUGAGGACAACUGGUAUCACACAAUUUGUUGCAACUAGCUGUCAUUUAUAUCUUGUCACCGCCAUACUGUGCUACGCGUGCAGCACGGCUAGUAUGGCCAUAAUAAGACAACAUGUGAAGUGACUGAUUAAAUUGAGUCACUUUUUGAUAUCAGUCUUAAAUGUUAGCAUAGGGUGUACAUGGGACUCAUUUUAUUUGUGUGAUUGGAUAUAACCCACAGUGACACUGAAACUUUUCUGCUCUGUGGAAAUAUGUAUUUCAUUCGUUCUUUUUUUUUGAAAAUCCCUCAUUUGUGGCUCUUGUUUGUAUUGUCUAUGGUUUUUUGACAAUUUAAAUGUCACCAAACGUCAAAUUUGAAGAAAAUUUUCGCUGUUUGGUGCGUUCGAGUGAAAUAUUUUGAUAAUAUUACCAUUGCAUUUUUGCAUUGCGCUACCCCAUGGACUCAUUAACUACUUUCUUGAGUUUCUUGGACGUCGUCACAUGAAAUAAUAUACGACCGAGCUUGCUCCCGACCAAGCACGAUCAGAUUCCUUGGGAGUUCUUCGGCAGACGAUUUCUAUGCACCGGCUCCAUGAGACGAAGAACAAAACAGCAUGCCACCUGACUGAUGACCCACCCACCGUUCACCCGGCCCCAGGAGCUAGAAGGCCUUGAGACAAAAGCUCGGGCAGGAUUCUGAUGGGCGCAACAGAAUAUCAUCUACGAUGCUUGUCCCACGGCCUGACUGAAUAAUAUUUGUAUAAUCAAUGGAAGGAAAAAACAGUAGAACAUUGAAAUUGGCUCGUAGGCAAGACGGAAGAUGGUCAAAACCGGUCAGAAAAUGAUGGCCUAGACACGGUUGGAGAGCUCUUGUUGGCAGAAACCACCUGAAGAUGGUCAGAUGACAUCAGCAACCUUG